ACUAACGCUGGCGGCGCGUCUUAAACAUGCAAGUCGAACGGAAAGGCCCCUUCGGGGGUACUCGAGUGGCAAACGGGUGAGUAACACGUAGGUAAUCUGCCCCUUGGCGGGGGAUAACUCGGGGAAACUCGGGCUAAUACCGCAUAAGAUUGUCCGGUCUGCGGACUGGACUCUGAAAGUCUUCGGACACCAGGGGAUGAGCCUGCGGCCAAUUAGCUUGAUGGUAGGGUAAUGGCCUACCAUAGCGACGAUUGGUAGCCGGCCUGAGAGGGUGAUCGGCCACACUGGGACUGAGAUACGGCCCAGACUCCUACGGGAGGCAGCAGUUAAGAAUCUUGCGCAAUGGGGUUACCCCUGACGCAGCGACGCCGCGUGCGGGAUGAAGGCCUUCGGGUUGUAAACCGCAGUAGACAGGGAAGAAGAAAGUGACGGUACCUGUCCGAAGCACCGGCUAACUACGU
rnacentral:rRNA from 1 species